ACGUAGGUGGCAAGCGUUAUCCGGAUUUAUUGGGCGUAAAGCGAGCGCAGGCGGUUACUUAGGUCUGAUGUGAAAGCCUUCGGCUUAACCGAAGAAGUGCAUCGGAAACCGGGCGACUUGAGUGCAGAAGAGGACAGUGGAACUCCAUGUGUAGCGGUGGAAUGCGUAGAUAUAUGGAAGAACACCAGUGGCGAAGGCGGCUGUCUGGUCUGCAACUGACGCUGAGGCUCGAAAGCAUGGGUAGCGAACAG
rnacentral:rRNA from 1 species